rnacentral:lncRNA from 1 species
AUAAUUUAAAACACUUAUCCAGUUGCUAAUUUACAGAACAUAUUAUCAAAUUUCAAAAUUUUUUUGCUAAAAGAACCUUUCAAUUACAGUUGAAACUCAGUUUACAGAAAUAUGUGAUGAUAUGCUUAACCCUUAAUUUUGAAAUCUAUAAAAUAAAAAUUUUCAUACAAUCAGAAUAUUUUUUUAUAUUUUACGAAAAACUAAUGGAUGUCCAGUCGCUUAUU